rnacentral:SRP_RNA from 1 species
ACCAGGAAGUAUAGGCCAGCUAUUCAGGUGGCUGAGGCAGGUGGAUUGCUUGAGCCCGGGGUUCUGAAAUGUAAUGUGCGCUUCCAAUCGGGUGUCUGCACUAAGUUCAACAUCAAUAUGGUGACCAUCUGAGAUGCCCAAGGAGGGGUGAACCAGCCCAGGUCAGAAAUGGUGCAGGUCAAAACUCUUGUGCUGAUCAGUAGUGGGACUGCAUCUGUGAAUAACCACUGCACUCCAGCCUGGGCAACAUAGUCAGAACUCUGUCUCU